GACUCCUUGCAGGGAGCCUGAUGUAGGACUCGAUCCUGGAACCCCAGGAUCACGCCCUGAGCCAAAGGUGGCACUAAACCGCUGAGCCACCCGGGCUGCCUGAGAUGCUCCAUCUAAUGCAAAUCUAGUCAGCAUAGUUUUAUAAGAUAGCUAUAAAAACAAAAAUCACUAGCUUUCAUCAAAACUGUCAUUAGAAACUAUUAGGAAGAAAAUUCAUUUCAUAUUAGCAAUAAAAUAUACUUAGACUUUUGCUUCUAGGAAAUAUAUGGGGGGAAACUAUGGGGAAAAUAAAAAUUUAAGGGAAAACUAUAAAUUUUAGAGAGAGACAUAAAAGGAGACCUAUGUAAAGCAGAAAAUACCAUAUGCCAGAAAGGAAGACAUCAGUUUUCCACAAAUCAUAUAUUUAACAAAUAUAAAUCAAAUCCUCCUAAGAUUUUUUGAGAGGAAACUUGAUUCUAUAUGCUAUUAAUAAUAAUAAUCAUGGACAAAGACCCCAGAGGUUUCUGAAAAGAAUAAAGGUGGGUUUGCAUUACUAGGUAUUAAAAUUCAUUUUAAAGUUAGUCUAGUUAAAAGUGUAUUGUUUCUGCAAAAAGAAGUCAAUAAAGCCUAACAAAGUUCAGAAAUGAAAGCAAGUAUAAAAGGAUUUAGUAUGUGGUAAAGUGGCAUUACAAAUACACUGAUACAUCUGAUACAUUCCAUCUAUGUCAUCAGAAUAUACUCCAAUAUAAAAAAGGAAAUAGAAGUAGAAAAAAAAUACAGACAUAAUCCCAAUUAGAAGUCCUAAACAUCACAUGAAAAGAAAUCAUUAGAGGAAUAGACUGACAAAUUGUUUCAUGAAGGUUCAGAGACAAGUAACAAGAAUGGAGAAAGCUACAGCAUACCACAAAUAUUGUUAUUCUUAACAUACAAAAGCUGUUAAAAAUUAACAAGAAAACAGACCACACCCUAAUAAGGACUUCAACAUUAACAAUAUAAACUAUCAACUAACAAAAUCUAGUAUAUCUAAUGUGCAUACAAAAUACCUAACUACACCAGUAACUAAAAAAAUGAAAAUUGUUUUAAUUUUUAUUUUUUUAAAAAUAUUUUAUUUAUUUAUUCAUGAGAGACACAGAGAGAGAGAGAGGCAGAGAUACAGACAGAGGGAGAAGCAAACUCCAUGCAGGGAGCCUGAUGUGGGACUCGAUCCCGGGUCUUCAGGAUCACGCCCUGGGCUGAAGGCAGGUGCUAAACCGCUGAGCCACCCAGGGAUUCCCCUGUUUUAAUUUUUAUAUAAUCUGUUUCUACAUUUUGUAUUGGGGGAAAGAUUAGAGUGAAAAGACCACUAUUUUGGGUAGACUCUUGUAUAAUGCUAGAAGAAACAUAAAUUGGACAGUCUAUUUAUUGGACAGUCAUUUUAUUUUUUUUAGAUUUUAUUUAUUUAUUCAUAGACACACAGAGAGAGGCAGAGACACAGGCAGAGGAAGAAGCAGGCUCCCUGCAUGGUUUACAGUUCUCAGCCUUAAACACAGCCUCAUGGUCCUGCGGUCAGCACUGCCCUCCACGUCCAGAACUUCCUCCCGCCUGGACUCUGCACCCAGCGCACACAGAUCCCCACCCCACCUCGCCACUGAUGCCGUUCUCCUUUCUCGGUGAACCUGUCACUCUACGUACUCUGUAUGAGUGCAAUCGUACCCUAUUUGUUUGUGACUGGCUUAUUUCACUUAACAUAAGGUCAUCAAGGUUCAUGUUGUUGCAUAUGUGACAAUUUCCUUUCCUUUCAAGGCUGAAUAAAAUUCCUUUGUAGGUACGGACAAUAUCUACAUAGAGCUCUGCUGAGGGACACGUGGGCUGCUUCCACCUUCUGGCCACUGGGAAUAACGCUGCUGUGAAAAUGAAUAUACUGAUAUCUGUUCCAGACCCUGCUUUCAGUUCUUUUGGGUAAAUACCCAGAUGAGAAAUUGCUGGAUCAUAUGCUAAUUCUAUGUUUAAUUUUUUGAGGAAAUGCCAUUUCGUUUUCCACCUAGGACACACCAUUUUAUAUUCCCACCAGCAAUGCACAAAGAUCCAAUUUCUCCACAUCCUCAUCAACACUUUUUGUUGUUUUUGAUAAUAGGCAUUCUAAUGGGUUUGAGGUGCUAUCUCAUUAUGAUUUUGAUUUGCAUUUCUCUGAUGAGUGAUGUUUCAUGUUUGAAAAGAUGCUCAUUAGCCAUCUGCAUAUCUUCUUUGCAGAAAUGUUUAAGUCCACUGCUCAUGUGUGAAUAAAGUUGUUUGUCUUUUUGUUAUGGAGUUUUAGGAGUUCUCUAAAAUUCUAGAUAUUAGCUCCUUAUCAGAUACAUUGUUAGCAAGUUUCUCCUAUUCUCUGGGUUGUUGCAUUUUUACUCUUGUGCUAGUGUCCUUUGGUACACAAGACUUUAAUUUUGAUGAAGUCCAAUUUAUUUUUUUCUUUUGUUAUCUCUGCUUUGGUGUCAUAUUGAAGAAAGCACUGCCAAAUCCAAUGUCAAGAAGAUUUCCCUCUAUGUUUUCUUCCAAGAAUUGUUUUAUAGUUUCAGCUCUUAUGUGUAGGUCUUUGAUCCAUUUUGAGUUAAUUUCACAUAUGGUAGAAGGUAAAUAUAUGACUUUAAAAAAACCCAUUCAUUAAGCUAUUUUCCAAUUCAUCAGCAUCUUCUCCAGAUAGAGCCAGCUCAACUAUCUGGCAAAUUUGGGACUUUUGAAAUCCCACAGAAAGUGAAGGACAAUACCAGACAUGUUUUCCUGGAAAAAUACCUUGCUGUUUUUACAUUCUGGACCUAUAAUCUGCAAGAACAGCAGCAAAGCAACAGCUUCAAGUCUAUUACCAAUCCUGUAUCAUUCAUAUUCUAGCCUAUUCUUUCUGACAUACUAGAUCCAGACUUUUUUAUUUUGAUUAUUACUAACAUGUCACAGCAAUAAAAGCUUAUUAUUAUUA